GUGUCAGCCGCCGCGGUAAUACGGAGGGUGCGAGCGUUAAUCGGAAUUACUGGGCGUAAAAGGGCGCGUAGGCGGUCGCGCAAGUCGGGUGUGAAAGCCCCGGGCUCAACCUGGGAAUUGCAUUCGAUACUGCGUAACUAGAGUCUGGUAGAGGGAAGCGGAAUUCCGCAUGUAGCGGUGAAAUGCGUAGAUAUGCGGAGGAACACCAGUGGCGAAGGCGGCUUCCUGGACCAAGACUGACGCUGAGGCGCGAAAGCGUGGGGAGCAAACAGGAUUAGAUACCCUGGUAGUCCACGCCCUAAACGAUGAGGACUAGACGUUGGGGGGAUAAAACCCUUUAGUGUCGCAGCUAACGCGUGAAGUCCUCCGCCUGGGGAGUACGGCCGCAAGGUUGAAACUCAAAUGAAUUGGCGG
rnacentral:rRNA from 1 species